rnacentral:rRNA from 1 species
CAGCAGCCGCGGUAAAACGUAGGGUGCGAGCGUUAAUCGGAAUUACUGGGCGUAAAGCGUGCGUAGGCGGUUAUUUAAGUUCGGGGUGAAAGGUUCAACGCUCAACGUGAACAGUGCCUUGAAUACUGGGUGACUUGAGUUCGGGAGAGGGCAGUGGAAUUCCUGGUGUAGCGGUGAAAUGCGUAGAUAUCAGGAGGAACACCGAUGGCGAAGGCAGCUGCCUGGCCUAGAACUGACGCUCAUGCACGAAAGCGUGGGGAGCAAACAGGAUUAGAUACCCCCGUAGUCCCUGUCUCUUAUA